rnacentral:lncRNA from 1 species
UCAAAACAAGACCAGGCAUUAUCAGCGACGUCACAAUGUGAGAGGAGAAGUUAUCAGCGACGUCACAAUGCGAGAGGAGAAGUUAUCAAGCUUGCUUUCGUCAAGCGUAAAACUGUCUUAGGGAGAAAGAAACGACCAGUAAUAGAACGAUAAAAAGAUAAUCGGGUUUUCUUCGUAUAGAUAUCGUAAAAUAUCAAUGUGUAGAAAACCCUAUAAUCUUUACAUAUACAU